UACGUAGGGUGCGAGCGUUGCCCGGAUUUAUUGGGCGUAAAGGGCGCGUAGGCGGCUCUGCACGUCCGUUGUGAAAUCGCCCGGCUCAACUGGGCGGGGUCAGCGGAUACGGCGGAGCUUGAGCAAGCUAGGGGGCAAUGGAAUUCCCGGUGUAGUGGUGGAAUGCGUAGAUAUCGGGAGGAACACCAGUGGCGAAGGCGGUUGCCUGGGGCCUUGCUGACGCUGAUGCGCGAAAGCGUGGGGAGCGAUCCGG
rnacentral:rRNA from 1 species